rnacentral:lncRNA from 1 species
UGCCUUUGAGAUUAGUCUUUAAAAAGCGUUGCUGGGAGUAUCUGGAUGAUGUGGAAGCAGAAGUUGGGGAGUAUUGAGCCUGGGAUAUAAGGUCUAUAAAGUUAAAAAUGUUAAAUUAUAUCUCUGGUUGCAAUGGAUAAACCUAGAUUAUUUUGAUUUUUUAUUUUUUUGAGAGUGGGGGCCUCACUCUGUUGCCCAGGCUGGAGUGCAGUGGCACGAUCGUAGCUCACUAUAACCUCAAAUUCCUGUAUCUAGAUUUAAUUCAUAAAAUUUAGGGCUUAAAAUUGGCAUCUAACUCAGCUUAUUUUUCAGCUUCAUCAAUUUUGAGCAAAUGUGUCAAAACUUGGAGAGAGUUUUUUGCCCAAUAGUCGCAUGACCAAGUAAAAGUGAAGGAGGUGACAAGAGACUUGGACUGUGGUAGGUAGAAGCGGAUAGACUGAGAGCUACUUAAAUUAGUAGGAGUUGAGAAUUAACCAGAUUUGCAGGGUGACAAAGAAUAGCUCCCAAAUUUCUGGCUUAAGCAACUGGAUAUUUGGCACUACCAUUUGCUGAAAGAGCAUCUCCCCCACCCCAAAAGUAGGAAGGGAGAAGGAUAGGAAGACGGGUUCCAUUCCUGUUGAACUUGUGAGCCUGAGACACGUGAACGUAGACAUUAUUCACUGGACAUAUGGGUCACUGGAUAUAGGGGUCUACAGCUCAGAGGAGAGUUUUGAGCUGCAGAUGUAGACUUAGCAAACAAUGAUUAAAGCUGUGGGAAAUAUGCAAUUAUUUGGAGACAAUGUGAGGUGAGAGAAGAAGGGGCCAGAAAGAUCCCUGAACAACUUCAGUGUUUAGAGGUUGGAUACAGUAGGAGGAACUAGAAAAGGAGGAGAUAGAAAAAGCAGCCAGAGGAAGAGGAAAACCACAAGGAGCAGUGCCAGGAGAAUAAUUAGGAGAAGGGUGUGGUCAGCUGUUUCAAAUGCUGCUGAGACAUGAAAUCAGUGAGAACUCAGUGUCCUUUGGACUUGGAGACAGAAGUGAAGGUGAUCUUGGCAAGAGCAACUGCAAUGAAAUGGUGGUAAGAAAAAUCAGAUUGCUGGUGGUGGUGCAGAGACCUAUUCUUGGCCCCCAAUUGCAAAUCUCUCCUCUCUUCUUAGAAAUAGACCUCACAUUUUUUGUUCACGGCAUCCUAGAAUAAAAACUACAUUUCACAGUCUCCUUUGUGUGGUCUUGGGGCUAAGUGCUGGCCAAUGGAAUGUACGCAGAAGUGUCACAAGUGACUUCCAGGAAGCAUUCUUCAAGCUUCAAGGGAGGGGUGGGCCCUUUUUGUUGCCUUCCUCCUUCCUAUUGGCCAGAAAGCGUAAGCAUCAUAUUGGACCAUGAGGUAGUGAGGAACAUUUGGAAGCCACAAGUUGAGAAUGGCAAAACCUGAGAGAAAUUAAGUGAGGUGAAUCACGAAAGUGAGUAUAGGCAGCUCUUUUAAGAAGUCUGACUGGGAAGAGAAAGACCAGCAGCAGGGGAAGGAAUAUGUUGUCAAGGCAGUGGGGGCGGGGGGAGCUAUUUUACAGUGGAUUUUAUGAUCCUGGCACAUACAUGAUCAAUAAGUAAUUGUUGGUUGCAAGAUUAGAGGGAUGCAUGGAUGGGAAAUCCAAGUAUGUAGAAAAGAAGCAGCUAGUUCAAGGCCCCUGAGAAGGUAGCAGCAGAUGGGCCCUUUACAUAGGGAUUGCCCUGGGGAAGAAAAGGGACAUCCUUUCCAUGUUCACAGGAGGGAAGGAGAAGCAGCAGAGUACAGAUGUAGGUAGGCUGGGAGACAGGGAGAAGAUGGCAUUCCUGUCUGAGGGUUUCUAAUUUCUCUGUGAAGUGGGAGAUGAAAGGAUGAGGUGUUGGGGGGAGCGUAUGAAGAUCUGAGGAGACAAGGCAGAUUUAAAACAGUUGCUGCAGAGAGGAGGAGACAGCGAGCUGACCCAACCCUCAGCUCCAGUGGAGAAGCAGGGCUUCAUCUUCUGGACACCAGCACAUCUUAGAUUGUGCCUUCCUUGUCAACACCAAGGCAAGCUGAGCCAGGAGGAUAGUGGAAGGUCACACAGGUAGAAAACCUGCUGACCAAACUGCCCCUGGUAAGAGUUACUUGGGAAGCUGAACCAAAGAUUUUUGCUGCUAUGUUGACUCACAGUAGAAUGUGAGCAGACAAGACACUGUAGAUGAGCCACUCCUGAGGAGCUCUGUUAAAUAUAGAUAAAGUGGAGGAGGGAGUCAGGCUGGCUGCCUUCCUAUUUAGGAUCUAGCAGAAACCCCAUUAGGAAAUAUUCCGUUCUGAAUGGCUUCUGGCUAAAUGGCUUGUGAGGAAACAGCCUGAUCAAUGCACCAGACCUAAUACAUUUUGGGUUCGAUCCCUUAAUAUGUGUAAGCAUUUACACUGCAAGUAAGAGGAAAUUCUCGCUGGAAUGACCAGGCCAAGAAAAGAAAAAUGGAAACGACCUAAAAUGCCUAACAAUGGAAAUGAGUUGAAUCCAUCUGGCUCAUAGACAUGACGAAAUACUGAAUGGCCACCAUAAAUGGACAUAUGUUUAUUGAUGAGGAAAGAUCUUUAUAACAUAUUGUCAAGUGAACAAAAAAGCAUGCUAUAAAAAAAGGUCAUGCAGAAUAAUCUUAUUUUGUAAAAAAAAAAAAAGUGUGUAUUAGUCCA